CCAAAGCAUGAAGUGAAGAGGAAAGGAAAGAACACAAACCCUAGGUGGGAAAAUUGAAGAAAAAGCGUGAGAUUUCAAGGGAUUAAGCUAAUAAAGGUAAAAUUUUGUGAUUUUAUCUUGUGAUUUACACUACCCAUGCUUUCUUUUUCAUUUUUCAUGCUUAGAACUCAAGUUUGCAUGAUGAACCCAUGCUGGCCGAAUUUGAGAGGAGAGGUUUUGAGCAUUGAUUUUGCUAGAUUUCAAGCUAAUUAAGUGUUUUUGGUUGUUUGGUAAUGGAAAGUAUGAAAAUCUAGCAAGGAAUCACUUUGUUCUUCACAAACCCACAAGAGGCCGAAUUUUCUAGGGAGGAUAUUGAGGCUGAAAUUGAUGAUAUUUCAUGAUAUUUUGGUGGUAUUUAAUGAUUGGUGAGGCUAGAAAUUUAAUGGGAAAUUUUGGCAUGAAAAUCUGAAUUUUUACCUAAUGUAUAGACAUGUGCGAUUUAUGGUUCAGACUGAUAAAUUGAAUCAUAUUCACAGUCAUUGAGGUAUUUUAAGUAUAAUUGGAGUGUAGAAAGUGAAAGAAAUCGAUUUGGAGUUAAAUUGGAGGUUUUAGCCAAUUACACCUCGAAUAGUGCGAAUUAGGUCAAUACCGUAUUUAAACGGCUAUUUAAACAUUUUGCAGCACAUUUCGUGCAUACAUAUAGAUUUAUAGAGCCUGAAAUAGUUUAUGAUAAAUUGACAUAAUUUAUUAAAAUUAGUGUCAUGUAUGAUGUAUAGGUGGUGAGCCCUCUAACAAGGGUAAAGAGAUUGUGUCUAAAGACCGGGAAUAGGAGUAUAUCGAACUCCUAGUACUGUGAGUAACCUUACUAUCGUCGUAAUUAUCUAGAGUGAUUUUUAUCCGAUUUUGUGAUUUUAUGAAAAAUGAGUUUAAAUGGUAAAUUUUUAGGUUUUAUAAACAAAAUGUGUUUAAAUACAAAUGAUUUCAUAAAUGGUCUUGAAAUUGAAUGAAGGCUUUGAAAAUAAAGUAAUUGGAGACCAUUUGAUGUAUUGUGAAUUUAUGGUUCUAAUUGAUUGGCUUAUGACAAUGUUGGCCUGAAUGGCUGAAUUGGUAUUUGUGUUGAAAUGUAUAAACUGUUGUUUGCCUUGAUAAGCUGGAUAAUGAUAAAAUUCCCAUAUCAUGCUGUUGAAUUUUUAUUGUAUGAUGGGUUUAGCUUGCUGCAGUGGACUGGUUCUGUGGACCAACCUAUUAGAGGGGCACGGAACCUGGUCAUAUAUAUGUACCUCGAUUGGAAAGGUGCGUUGGGUAACUCCCGAGGUCAAACUUUAGAGUUCAUUUCACGCCCAACCACCACGUGAGGGGAACUCUGCCAACGCCAAGGAACGACUAUGUUUUCAAAAUAAAAACAUGAUUUAUACGUACAUAACUUUUUAACAGCCUUGGCGAAUUCGGUUGGGAUAGCCCUCGAUCAAGGCAUCCUUGAUAACUGGGUAUGAGAAUGAUUUUGGCACGAGCCAAAGUUUUAAGAAAUUCAUAAGCCAUGUUAAUUACUCGAUUUAUAUGAAUUGAUUUUAUUUGGUUGAAACAAGUUGAAAGGUGAUGAAUUUCAGUAUGUUAAACUGUUUUAUCUGUCUCCAUUUACUCGACUUUAGAUGGUUUAGAUGGUAUCUAUUUACUCACUGAGAUUUUAUAAUCUCACCACCCUCAUUUUCAACCAUUUCAAGCUCGAGGUAGUCUGUGGAUAGCAGAUAUCGUCAAGGAUUAUAGUCGGCUUUACUACUCCAAAAACUGUAAGUUUACAGUCUUUGUGCACUUUUGUUCCUUGUGGGCCCACGAGUCACUGGAAAGUAAAUUUCAUAUCCCGAUUAUCGGUAUUAUAGUACGUAUGAAUUUAUUUAGCUUUUACAUUACAAAAAUUAUUUACCGAUGACUCUAUAAAUAUUAUUUUACAAGAAAUUAGAAUAUUUUAUUGAAUAUUUUUAUUUUAUUCAAAUAGUUGCAAUAUCAUUUUUAAUAAAUGUUUUAGACACCCAAAUUUAUUUUAAAUCAUAAAAUAUGUGUUUUUCACUCAUCUACUACAUUUUUUGUCGGGUUCGGAAAAUUUUGAGGAAAAAUGAAGAAAACGCCCCUGUGAGGCGAAAAUUAUUUUUCCACGGUUUUGAAAGGGAAAAAGCUUAAAAUUCUUUAAAAAUGAGGUUUGACGAUGAUUACUCACAGGGGAGAUGAAAACAAAAUGGUACUAAAGCCUUGCUGGUUCCGAUUAGCACUCCGGGUAACGAAUGUCUACCGGGACGUCGCAACGGUUGUCACCAGCUUGAGAGGAGUAUCGAGUCGUGACAAAUUUAGAUCUUUAGGAUUUUAUUGUUGAUAGACCUCAUAUUCUUACCAAAACUGUAGAUAGUGUAAACCAUGUUAAACUAGAGCUGAAUGGGAUAAUAAAGACAAAAAGUUGGUAUAGGUGAAUCACAAAGUUGUAACAACUAUUUUGUGUCCUCUUAGUGAGGAUGAAAUUAAUAGAGUAGCUAUGUGUUCCUUAGCAAAAGAAAUUUGGGAUACAUUAGAAAACUAUUAUAAGGAAACUAGUUAAGUAAAGGAAUAAAAAAUUAGUUUGUUAAUACUUGACUAUGAGUUUUUCAAGAUGAAAGAUGAGGAAUCUAUCAAAGAAAUGUUUGAAAGAUUCACCAAAAUCAUAAAAGGACUUAAAGCUGUAGGAAAAAAGUUCCAAAUGCACAACCGGUGAAGAAAAUCCUUCACAAUCUUCCUAAAUCGUGGAUAUCUAAGGUCAUUGCCAUAGAAAAAGCCAAAGACUUAAAAGUACUUAAGUUAGAUGAGCUUCUAGGUUCUUUACUUACUUAUGAAAUGACCUUUAGGCAUGAGAAAGAAAUAGAUGAAGCAAUUAAAAGAGAAGCAAAGUGAAAAAGCACUGCUUUCAAGGCAGCUGAGGAAGAAAAUGUAAAUAAUGUUGAAUAUGAUGAUAAAGAAAUAUCUUUGUUAACCAAAAGGUUUAAUAGAUCUUUGAUGAACAAAAAAAGAAGUCGAAAGUUUUUCAAAAGAGACGAACUAAGAAGAAAUCUGAGGAGAGACAUUCAAAAAGAUGAUCAUAGAAAAGAUCACGUUAUUUGUUAUGAAUGCAAAAGACUUGGUCCAACCAAAUACAAAUGUCCAAAACUCAAGAUGAACAAUCAAAGAAGCAUCAAUAAGAAAACAAUGAUAACAGCAUAGAGUGACAGUGAUAAGUCACAAAAUGAACAGGAAAAAAAGAUUGCAAGUCUCUGUUAUGUGGCAGUAGAUGAGCCCAUGAAUGAGGAUUUUUCGGAUUCUAAUAUGCAAAUGGAUAACCCACAAUUUCUUGAUGCUAAAUGUUUGAGUCAUACAAUAAUCAUCAAAGAAGAAAUUAUGAAUGAGGAAGGAAAAUCUAGUAAUUUUAUUUUUGAAAUUGAUCAUCACGGAGAAAGUGAAGAACUAGGAGAAGUCACCUCAAUGGACAUGGAUUCUACUUCCAAUAAAGAAAAAUUAACAGUAGAAUGUCCAAAGUUCAAUGCCAAAGACUAUCAUCAUUGGAAAGACCAAAUAAAAUAGUUUAUCCAAGUGAGUGAUUAUGAAUUUUGGAGAAUAAUCAGAGAUGGUUCAUAUGAGUUGACUAAAGAAUUAAAUGAAUGGGAUUCAAGUCACUUAGACAUGUUAUAACUUAAUGCAAAGGCCAUGCAUUUCCUCUUUUCUGCACUAGGAAACAAAGAGUACAACAAAGUCUCUUCAUACAAUAGUGCAAAAAAAGUAUGGGAAAAACUAGAAGAAAUAUAUGGAGAAGAAGAUUUGGAAGAAAACACUAGAAAAAUCAACAAUGAUGAGUCAAGUAAGAUUCAAUCCUCACAACAAGGAAAUGAAGCAUGGUCAUUGUUCUAGAACUUGGAAGGGAAGGUAAAAUAUCUAUUUGAUGGUAUGUUUAAAUAUACUUUCGAAGAAUUUAAGGAGGUGUUUGGUGAAUUAGUUUAUAGGUACAAGAAAAUAAAUUUGGAGAAUAAAGAAAAAUUUCAAAUCUUAAUGUUGAAAAUGAAUUUUUAAAUAAUGCAAAACUUGAGUUAGAAAGAGAAAAUAAAAAUUGAAAACGACAUUUAGAAUACGUGAGAUGAAUCUCAAUAGUUUAGGAAAUGAAAAUGAGAAGUUAAAAAAUGCUCUUGAAGGAUAUAAAAGGAAAACUGAUUGAAUAAGUUUCAAGAGUGAAGCAAAUAAGUUUUUUUUUUUUUUAAUUCUAACCUUUUAGCAAGUUUUAUUUUUUUUUUUACUAACAAAAGGAUUCAAAAAAAUUUUGGAUACCAAAAAACAAGUGACAAUCUAUAUCGCAGGGAAAUCAAUGAAAUAAAAAGUAAAAUUAGAAUGUCUAGAAUCAACAUCUUCAUUUUGAAGAAUCAAUUCGUCUGGCAUAAAGUACUUUUCAAAGGUCUCAAAACUUAUUAUGUGGCUUUUAAACAGGUAUGAGAAACAAGGUGAGAGUAAUGAUUAAUUAUAAUGCCCUGAUUGUCCUGAAUGUUUAACAUGACAUUAGAUGCAUGCAUUCAUCAUGGAAAGUUAUCCAACUGAUUCUAACUCCUAGACAUAAAGGAAAAGAAUCUACGUCUGAACUUAGUGUCUUAAUGACUUUCACUAAAAAGGUUAUUGAUUGAGACCAUACUAGGCAAAUGAAAUAAAUGUGCAAGUCAAAGUGAUAUGAUUCACUUAAAAAAUGUUAAAAUUUGAAAAAAGAAGGUGAAGAGACAAACAACUUUGCUUAUAAGAUUAGAAGAAACGUUAUUGGUCCAUUCAUUUACCAUAACUUUAGAACAAGUCUACUGUAAAACUUUUCCAUCACCUUAACCUAUUCAUAAAAGUAUUCAUCAGUCAUGGCAGCAAGGCAUGGGAGUUAUACUAGAGACCAAAGAAGGGAGUCAUCAUCAAAGUCCAAUCAUAUUUUUAAGAACUUCAACGAUCACAAACAUAGACAAAGGUACUUGUACCUGUUUUCACACUUUCAAGUGAUUCUUAGUCAUUCAAUUGAUUUGGAUUACAUAAGCACACUAGGUUUCCCAUACUUAGAUAAUCUCAAAGAACAACAUUGGUUGACAACUUUAAAAAUGAAUACACCUUAUUAUGAGAAUUUGGUCAAGGUUUUCUAUUAAAAUGCUGAUACUACAUUUAUUAACAAUGAUGGAAAGCCAUAUACUUCCAAGGUCGCAUUCACUACAUCAAUCAUGGGAAGAGAAAUAGGUAUUUCUCCACCAGUGAUCAAUCAUGUCUUAGAAGUUCAUAACUUUAGAAUAGACCUAAAAAGUCUACGUAAUGAACUCAAUAAACUUGACUUAAAAAACAUGUGUUCAUCUUCCCUCCACUAACACUAAUAAAACCCUUCAGUAUAAACCGUUUAGGCUUUCAUGACAAGAUCUUACACUUAAUUUUAUGUUGGUUCUUAAGACCAAGUGGGAGAGAAUUCUCAUUUGUGAAAAGUGAAGAUUUAUAUUUCAUGCAUCACAUCAAACACAGCAAGCAAUUCAAUUUGGGUUAUUUCAUUCUUAGAGACAUGUUGGAAGUAAUUGAAGGAAAGAAUGAAAGAUUAGUUCAUGGAAUGGUAAUUAGCCAACUAAUGGAUUCACUUGAGGUUGACACAAGUGCAGACUUGAUGAUUAGAUGUCAAAAUCAGAAGAUUGUUGAAGAAGCAAUAAAGGAGUUUGAAUAUCACUCGAUUGAAAAGAAUAUGACACUUGAACAAGGUUUUGAACUUAGAGAUGCAAGAACAGAUGAUAGCAGGAAUUUCACUAACACUGAAGAUCCACCUUCCCAAAACACCAUGAACUCCUUGAUUGCAAAAAUGGAUAACUACUUUGACAAUUAGAUCAAAAAACAACAGCAUGAAAGAAAAGAACAUAAAAAGAAAAUGAAUCAGCUUACGAAAAAGUUUAACUUAGAUAGUUGAUCCUCAAGUUAAUCCAGUAGAAGACAUAUAUCAUUUUGUGGAGCAAAAUUAUUGUAACUCCUAAAACAUAUAAAUUUUAAUUUUAAUGGAUGACUUUCGGAUUUUCAUUUGCAUACAUUCAUUUGUAUAUUUACUGAUAUCUAUUCAUUGAACAUACUUGCUCUAAUUGUCUCUAUGAUCUUAUCAUUAAAUGUUGAUUGAUAACUAUACUUAACUUGUGCUGGGAAUGCUCUAUUUUUCUAUGAGUUUUAUUUCCUUUAUUAUACUCUAUUUUCUGUUCUUUUUUUGUACAACGAAAAAAGGGAGAAAUAUAGUGAGCAAAUUUGUACUUAAAUUUUCAUUCAUUUUAGUUGGAGUUGGUUGGAUUUUUCAAAAAUGCUUUUAUACUUAAAUGCAAAUCUUUUUGAAAAAGCAUAUAAUUAAGGGGAGAAAGCAUAAAUUCAAAGGGAGCUUUACCUGAGAAAAGUACUUUGAAAUAUUGAGCAUAUUUUUAGGGGGAAUUUUUCUUCAAGAAGCAAAAUUAACUCUCAAUUUUGUCAUAUUAAAAAAGGAAACAUUGUUAGCUUUAUAUUUGUUUUGACAUGACAAAAUUGAUUGAACUUUAAUGAGCUUUGAAAGUGAAAGAUAUUAUUGAGAAUGAAGAAAAUCCUCAAAGAAUUAUUAAAGUUGAACUUAGUAGAAAAGGUUAUUAAAGUGUUUUGAUUGUUUGAACAUUAUAUAGAUGAUCAUACUCUUACUUUUCUCAAAAAGUCUCUUGUUUUCAAAAUUAAAUGUGCUAGCCCAAAGAUCAAGGUUUCAAAAGAAAUGGCUUGAUCUUGAAGGAAAAUAAAGCAAAAUAUAUUUCUUUAAUUAGAGGAAGAAUCGAUUCUAGAGAUGAAAAAGUCAAUUCUCAAGCAAAGAUGAAUAGUGAAGAAUCGAUUUUGAGACAAGGAGAAGUCAGUUCUUAGAAGAUAGAAUCUUCAAGAUUUGUGAAGAACCGACACCUCAAAGACAAAGAAUUGAAUCUGGAGAAACAAAAUGCAAAAAAGAGAAAAGCAAAGAAGAAAUAAUCAAUUUUACAAGGAGAAAAAGUCAAUUCUUGAAGCACCAAAAGUACAACUUAAAACUUGGUGACCAAGAAAGGCAUGGCACAACUGAAUAAAAGUGGAGCUACAGAAUUCAAGCUUGAAUUCAAAUUUUGGAGCUCGUCCACAGUAAAGAAUCGACACCUUGAGGCAAAAAAAAUCUAUUCUCCAAGAUUGCAAAAGUGUCACCUUUACAUUUAGUUAUAGAAGAAUUGACACCUUGAAAUAGAAGAAUCGAUUCUUCAAAGACAGAAAGCUACAAACUUCGCGAAGAACUGACAACUUAACUACAAAGAACCGAUUCUACCAAAGAAAUAGAAUUGUGCAAGCUGGCUUGAACAUACAAGAAAUGAUUUACAACUUACUCCACAGAUAGAAAAUCUCAAAGGCUACAAAUAUACAUCUUGAGAAUGUUAAAGAAAGAAGAGAAGAGGAUUUUGAAAGAUUUUGAACCAUCUUUGAAGAGGAAAAAAAUGAAAAAAAAAAAAAAAACAAGUUUGAGCAGAAAGUUCCUAACUUUGAGCAAACAAAGGGCCUAAAGUUCUCAUUCUUAUUCUUUAGCUAAUCCUUUUUGAUCUUAGACCAUCAUUAAUCAUCUUUAUUUUUGUAAAAGCUCUCACUUUUUUGAACCUAAACUUUGUUAUUAACCUUUCUAAAGGUUUUUAGUUUGUGGUUUGAUAGAAUUAUUUGUUGUAUUAGUUAUGCCUUUAGGUAAAAGGUAGAGAGGUUUUGCUUGAUCUUUUAAAAGGCUUCAUCUUGUGUAAAGGUAGUGCUUUAACCUAAAAAGGUAGUGUCUUAGUAAAGGUUACAUCUGAUCUUGUAAAAGGCAAGUUGUAGAGGUUAUGAUUGAUCUUGAAAAAGGCAUAUUUUAAAGGUUACGCGUGACCCUAUUGAAAAGGUAAACUGGUUAUGGAUUCAAACUUUUUGUGCUAUCAAGGUGAUGUCAAAUUUUCAUGCAAGUGCACGUUCUCGUAAACAAGUAAUAUAGUAGAAGUAAAGUAUUGUUCCCACAAAGAUUUGUUUCUAAAUAUUUACGAAGUAUUAAAAUCUUAUAACAAAUCAAUUUUAUUUAAGUAACCAGAAAUUGUAGAAAAACUAAUUAAAACAAAAUUAAAAUAAACACUAAAUUAACCAACAGAAAUUAAAUAUGCUUGAGAGAGAAAAUAGAUUAAAAACCUAGGAUUAUGGGUUCAUUCAACACUUCAUCUAGUACUAGUUUCUCUUACUAUUUAUCUUUCUUGGGUGAUUUUACUAACCUAGAAUCCAAAACUAUGUAUAAGUCUCAGUCAAGAUGCUUGCACAAAUACGUAACUUAAUUAGUUCACUAUAUAUCUAUAGGAAUCAAUUAAAUUGAGUUCAUUAAGCUAGUGUCCUAAUUUGGCUAUGUAUGGCAAUUUGCGUAUAUCUACCCGAAUUGUGAAUCAGAUCACCUAAGUGACAUGAGCAUACACUAUUCAAAUCUUAGUCCAAUCUAAAAUCUCUUUGUCGAGUUUUAAUUAGAUUCACAAAUCAAUUACUUAUUGAUCAGGCAAUUCAAAGCAUUAAGAACAUAUUUGAAUGACAAAACUAUACUCAUUCAUGAUAAAUAAAAGAUAAACUAAUAUUCAAACUACAUGUUGAAAUCCACGAUUAUUCUAGAAAAGCAAAUUAGUUCAUGAUAUCUAAAUAAAAAAAUCUCCAAAGAAAUUUAGCCAUGAAUUCAAAACAAGAAAAUAAGUAUAACACAAAAGAGAGAAAUAAACUAAUGUUGACGUUUUGUUGAUCUUGAAUCUUUUUCAAUUUCUUUUGUUUCUUGCUUGAUUCUGAGCUCUAAAUCUCUAGAAAAGCUAUUACUAUUCUCUCCCUUCAAUGCUCUCAAAAAGGCUCCUUAAAUAAGCUUAAAAGACCUACUUUCUGAAAUCUUGUAAAACAAUGAAUUUUUUGAAAGUUGUCUUGUGCCGCAGCGCUUCCCUUUUUGGUGCCACUGCAUUGUGACAUGUGUUGUAACGCCGUGGCUGUCUACUCUCGAGAAUUUGUAUGGUGCACUCUAGCACCAUGGCCAUGAUCUUCCCAGUACCAUGGCCCUAACUCCCUCAGCGUCAUAGCCAUGAGUAACUCAAGGUCGUGACCUCCAAUCAACAUGCUAUGCAGAAUUGCAACUGCCCAUCAACUUCUAAUGCAUUUUCACCUUGAUUGGAUCCGAACUGGGUAAAGUGGUAAACAUGAAAGUUAUAGCCCAUUCUCUUAACUUUCCAAAUGGAUUAAGAAUCUCAUCAAUGGGACUUCUGUAGCUCUAGUUAUCCUUGAAAUUUCGUAGCAUGUAUGAAUAAAUCCUUC
rnacentral:lncRNA from 1 species